ACCUGCAGUCGACGAGAAAGUGGAGCAAUCCAUGAGUAAAGUGGCGACCGGGUGAGUAACACGUGACUAACCUACCCUCGAGUGGGGAAUAACUCCGGGAAACCGGAGCUAAUACCGCAUAACAUCUUCGGAGCGCAAGCUCUGUUGAUCAAAGGAGCAAUUCGCUUGAGGAGGGAGUCGCGGCUGAUUAGCUAGUUGGCGGGGUAAUGGCCCACCAAGGCUUAGAUCGGUAGCCGGCCUGAGAGGGCGCACGGCCACACUGGAACUGAAACACGGUCCAGACUCCUACGGGAGGCAGCAGUGGGGAAUUUUGCGCAAUGGGGGAAACCCUGACGCAGCAACGCCGCGUGGAGGAUGAAGUCCCUUGGGAUGUAAACUCCUUUCGACCGGGACGAUACUGACGGUACCGGUAGAAGAAGCACCGGCUAACUCUGUGCCAGCAGCCGCGGUAAUACAGAGGGUGCGAGCGUUGUUCGGAAUUAUUGGGCGUAAAGGGCGCGUAGGCGGUGCGGUAAUUCACCUGUGAAAUCUCCCGGCUCAACCGGGAGUCUGCACGCGAAACUGCCGUGCUGGAGUAUGGUAGAGGUGCGUGCAAUUCCCGGUGUAGCGGUGAAUUGCGUAGAUAUCUGGAGUGAUCAGCUGUGGUGAAAACUGCGCACUGUACCAUAACUAACCCUAGGGGCGCGAAGGG
rnacentral:rRNA from 1 species